rnacentral:rRNA from 1 species
UGGAACGAGCGGCGGACGGGUGAGUAACACGUGGGCAACCUGCCUGUAAGACUGGGAUAACUCCGGGAAACCGGGGCUAAUACCGGAUAACUCAUCGGAUCGCAUGAUCCGAUGUUGAAAGAUGGCUUCUCGCUAUCACUUACAGAUGGGCCCGCGGCGCAUUAGCUAGUUGGUGAGGUAACGGCUCACCAAGGCCACGAUGCGUAGCCGACCUGAGAGGGUGAUCGGCCACACUGGGACUGAGACACGGCCCAGACUCCUACGGGAGGCAGCAGUAGGGAAUCAUCCGCAAUGGACGAAAGUCUGACGGUGCAACGCCGCGUGAGUGAGGAAGGCCUUCGGGUCGUAAAACUCUGUUGUUAGGGAAGAACAAGUUCCGUUCGAAUAGGGCGGAGCCUUGACGGUACCUAACCAGAAAGCCACGGCUAACUACGUGCCAGCAGCCGCGGUAAUACGUAGGUGGCAAGCGUUGUCCGGAAUUAUUGGGCGUAAAGCGCGCGCAGGCGGUUCCUUAAGUCUGAUGUGAAAGCCCACGGCUCAACCGUGGAGGGUCAUUGGAAACUGGGGAACUUGAAGACAGAAGAGGAGAGCGGAAUUCCACGUGUAGCGGUGAAAUGCGUAGAGAUGUGGAGGAACACCAGUGGCGAAGGCGGCUCUCUGGUCUGUGCUUGACGCUGAGGCGCGAAAGCGUGGGGGAGCGAACAGGAUUAGAUACCCUGG